rfam:Daphnia pulex DAPPTscaffold_152_Cont6038, whole genome shotgun sequence.
UAUAGUGUGGCCGAGUGGUCUAUGGCGUUGGUUUUAGGCACCAGUCUCUUCGGAGGCAAGGGUUCGUAUCCCUUCACUGUCA